rnacentral:tRNA from 1 species
UGCCUGGUAGUGUAACGGUAGCACGACUGACUCUGAAUCAGUUAGUCCAAGUUCAAAUCUUGGCCGGGCAA